GAUGAACGCUGGCGGCGUGCCUAAUACAUGCAAGUCGAGCGAACGGACGAGAAGCUUGCUUCUCUGAUGUUAGCGGCGGACGGGUGAGUAACACGUGGAUAACCUACCUAUAAGACUGGGAUAACUUCGGGAAACCGGAGCUAAUACCGGAUAAUAUUUUGAACCGCAUGGUUCAAAAGUGAAAGACGGUCUUGCUGUCACUUAUAGAUGGAUCCGCGCUGCAUUAGCUAGUUGGUAAGGUAACGGCUUACCAAGGCAACGAUGCAUAGCCGACCUGAGAGGGUGAUCGGCCACACUGGAACUGAGACACGGUCCAGACUCCUACGGGAGGCAGCAGUAGGGAAUCUUCCGCAAUGGGCGAAAGCCUGACGGAGCAACGCCGCGUGAGUGAUGGAGGUCUUCGGAUCGUAAAACUCUGUUAUUAGGGAAGAACAUAUGUGUAAGUAACUGUGCACAUCUUGACGGUACCUAAUCAGAAAGCCACGGCUAACUACGUGCCAGCAGCCGCGGUAAUACGUAGGUGGCAAGCGUUAUCCGGAAUUAUUGGGCGUAAAGCGCGCGUAGGCGGUUUUUUAAGUCUGAUGUGAAAGCCCACGGCUCAACCGUGGAGGGUCAUUGGAAACUGGAAAACUUGAGUGCAGAAGAGGAAAGUGGAAUUCCAUGUGUAGCGGUGAAAUGCGCAGAGAUAUGGAGGAACACCAGUGGCGAAGGCGACUUUCUGGUCUGUAACUGACGCUGAUGUGCGAAAGCGUGGGGAUCAAACAGGAUUAGAUACCCUGGUAGUCCACGCCGUAAACGAUGAGUGCUAAGUGUUAGGGGGUUUCCGCCCCUUAGUGCUGCAGCUAACGCAUUAAGCACUCCGCCUGGGGAGUACGACCGCAAGGUUGAAACUCAAAGGAAUUGACGGGGACCCGCACAAGCGGUGGAGCAUGUGGUUUAAUUCGAAGCAACGCGAAGAACCUUACCAAAUCUUGACAUCCUUUGACAACUCUAGAGAUAGAGCUUUCCCCUUCGGGGGACAAAGUGACAGGUGGUGCAUGGUUGUCGUCAGCUCGUGUCGUGAGAUGUUGGGUUAAGUCCCGCAACGAGCGCAACCCUUAAGCUUAGUUGCCAUCAUUAAGUUGGGCACUCUAAGUUGACUGCCGGUGACAAACCGGAGGAAGGUGGGGAUGACGUCAAAUCAUCAUGCCCCUUAUGAUUUGGGCUACACACGUGCUACAAUGGGCAAUACAAAGGGCAGCGAAACCGCGAGGUCAAGCAAAUCCCAUAAAGUUGUUCUCAGUUCGGAUUGUAGUCUGCAACUCGACUACAUGAAGCUGGAAUCGCUAGUAAUCGUAGAUCAGCAUGCUACGGUGAAUACGUUCCCGGGUCU
rnacentral:rRNA from 1 species